GACGUAGGGGGCAAGCGUUGUCCGGAAUUACUGGGCGUAAAGGGCGUGUAGGCGGCGCGGUACGUAGCGGUUUUAAGCCUCCGGCUCACCCGGAGGAGGGCGGCUAAACGGCCGGGCUGGAGGGCAGGAGAGGUGCACGGAAUUCCUGGUGGAGCGGUGAAAUGCGUAGAGAUCAGGAAGAACACCCGUGGCGAAGGCGGUGCACUGGCCUGACCCUGACGCUGAGGCGCGACAGCGUGGGGAGCGAACGGG
rnacentral:rRNA from 1 species